UUCGGUCACAGCCGUCAUCAAAAUGCAUGAUCAUAAACCAAUAUAUAUAAAGUCUCGACCCACCAAAAUUGGAAGAGGCUAAGUUGGUUAGUAGCAAGAUAUAUUUACCAAAAACAGCAACAUAUAAUAUUCCAUCAUAUAAUAGAACGGGAGAAUGUGGAGCUCCAUGUCUGCCGUCUUGCCGUCAACUCCUUAACCUGAAAAGAAUCAUAAAUAAUAGGGUAUGACUGUGCAAGCACACUCAGUGGGGUAAACACUGCAAGCAGUUAUAACCAAUUGUGUAAUGAAUCAUAACAUGUUGAACUCUUAUAUUUUUCACUUAGCUGAGAUCUUGUGAGACUAGUCUCGGUCCCUUGUGGACCUGACCCCUUGUGGGUCGUUCAGCUCUUUGAUCCCUUGUGGAUCCGACCCCUUGUGGGUCCCAUUAGUUCAUAUGAAUGACGCACAACACAACAAUGAUUAUAACCAUGUAACAACUACGCUUACAGAUAAAAGUAAACCUCACCUUAAGUGAUUGAAUUCAAACCUCUUCAAGCUUGCUUCGGUUGUCGUCCUCGAGCCUUGGAUGCGCCGCUCCUAGCACUU
rnacentral:lncRNA from 1 species